rnacentral:rRNA from 1 species
UACGUAGGGUGCGAGCGUUGUCCGGAAUUAUUGGGCGUAAAGAGCUCGUAGGCGGUGUGUCACGUCGGCCGUGAAAACCUGCAGCUUAACUGUGGGCGUGCGGUCGAUACGGGCAUCACUGGAGUUCGGCAGGGGAGACUGGAAUUCCUGGUGUAGCGGUGAAAUGCGCAGAUAUCAGGAGGAACACCAGCGGCGAAGGCGGCGCUCUGGGCCGGUGACUGACACUGAGGAGCGAAAGCGUGGGUAGCAAACAGG